CACGCUGGCGGCGUGCCUCAGACAUGCAAGUCGAACGCGAAAGUUUCCUUCGGGGAACAAGUAGAGUGGCGCACGGGUGAGUAACACGUAGGUAAUCUACCUUUGGAUGGGGAAUAACAACCGGAAACGGUUGCUAAUACCGCAUAAUGCAGCGGCACCUAAUGGUGACAGUUGUUAAAGCGGGGGAUCGAAAGACCUCGCGUCUGAAGAGGAGCCUGCGGCGGAUUAGCUAGUUGGUAAGGUAAUGGCUUACCAAGGCAAUGAUCCGUAACCGGCCUGAGAGGGCGGUCGGUCACACUGACACUGAAAUACGGGUCAGACUCCUACGGGAGGCAGCAGUCGGGAAUUUUGGGCAAUGGGCGAAAGCCUGACCCAGCAACGCCGCGUGAAGGAUGAAAUCCCUCGGGAUGUAAACUUCGCAAGAACAGGAAGAAUAAGUAAGGGUUAAUAUCUCUUACGAUGACGGUACUGUUUGUAAGCUCCGGCUAACUCCGUGCCAGCAGCCGCGGUAAUACGGGGGGAGCAAGCGUUGUUCGGAUUUACUGGGCGUAAGGGGCGCGUAGGCGGCCACCGCAAGUCAAUUGUGAAAUCUCCGGGCUUAACCCGGAAAGGUCAACUGAUACUGCGGGGCUAGAGUGCAGAAGGGGCAAC
rnacentral:rRNA from 1 species